AAUUGGGCCAUUACUCUUCUCUUUUAUCCGUGUAAAUAGAAGUGAAACUGCAACCUUCAUCCUCCACCGUUUCAACUAUUGCAGUCGUCCGAUAUUUCCUCCAUUCUCUCUCAUCACUUCAGUCUGAUUUUUCUAGAGUUUUUUAAGAUCAACAUCAAAAGAUGUCUAGGCCACCUAUUCUUAUCAAAGAUUUGCCGCCAGACCAAAAACAUUGGAAGAUUGUAAUACACGUUAUCGAUCUAUGGUUAGUGAAGGAACGAAAUGGACAACAACAUGUUAAAGUUAUUAUUCAGGAUGCAGAGGAUCACCAAAUCCAUGUUGUAAUCCGGAACCGUGAACUUGACGUGUGGAACCAGACAUUACAAGAGCAUCAUACCUACAUGGUAUAUAAUGGAGAGCCUCUGAUAAAUGACUUACCAUUGAAAGUUUGUGCCAACAAGUUCCAACUUUUUUUAAUGGUACAACUCCAAUCAUUGUGAUUGACAUGCCCGAGAUUCCACUUCACAAAUUCAAUUUCAAAUCAAUGGGGGAUUUCUUGAUUGGUGACUUUCAAGUUGAUUGCUUAUACGAUGAACAACACAAUAUAUUUGAUAAAAUCAUGCAAGCAGUUACUGAUAAAAAAGGAGGUGUUUUUUAUACGGUUAUGGUAAAAUUGGGAAGACAUUCAUGUGGAACACACUAUCAGUAACUUUAUGUUCAAAUCGAGACAUAGUUUUGAAUGUUGCUUCAAGUGAAAUUGCAAGUCUACUUUUACCAGGAGGAAGGACAUCACACUCAAGAUUCAAAAUCCCAGUACCAUGUCUGGAAUCUUCGAUUUGUAACAUUGAGAAAAAAUCUGACCUUACUGGGUUGUUGUAGAUUACUAAGUUGAUAAUUUGGGAUGAGGCUCCUAUGACAAACAAAAUCUGUUUUGAAUCUCUUGACAAGUCUUUAAAAUAUAUGAUGGGUAUUGACAAUGUUGCAUGUCAGAAAUUUUUUGGAGGCAAAGUUCUUAAACUAACCAUAAAUAUGUGUUUGGAAACUGGGUUUGAUUCAACUCAUACCGAAGAGAUUCAACAGUUUUCUGAAUGGAUUUUAAAAGUUGGUGAUGGAAAAAUAUCUGAACCAAAUGAUGGAUAUGCUGAAAUUACAAUUCCACAAGAGUUACUUCUAACAAAUUAUGUCAAUCCAAUAGCCAAGAUUGUUACAAACACUCAUCCAAAUUUACUACAAAAUUUCACUGAUACUACCUUCCUUCAAAGUAAAGCUAUUUUGGCUUCAACUAUUGAAAUAGUUGAUGAAAUCAAUGAUUACAUCAUAAAUCUUCUUCCAGGUGACCCAAAGGACUAUUUGAGUAGUGAUUCCAUUGACCGAUCAGAAGCAAAUGAAAAUGAUGGUUUCAAGCAUUUGACACCUGAAUUCUUGAAUUAUUUGAAAACAUAGGGAUUACCAAAUUAUCCCAUACAACUAAAAAUCGGUUCAUGUAUCACGUUGAUCAGAAUUUGGAUCAAAGUGAAGGCCUUUGUAAUGGUACAAGAUUAACUGUUUCUAGGCUAGCAAAUCAUGUCAUUGAAGCAAAAAUUAUUUUAGGUACCCAUAUUAGAAAUACUAUUUACAUACCAAGAAUGUCUUCAUCUCCUUCACAAUCUCCUUGGCCAUUCUAACUCAUUACAAGACAAUUCCCCAUUAUUGUUUCAUUUGCAAUGAUCAUAAACAAAUCACAAGACCAAUCCCUAUACUAUGUAGGCUUAUAUUUGCCAAAGGAUGUGUUCAAUCACGGACAACUCUAUGUUGACAUGUCAAGAGUAAAGAGCAAGGUUGGUUU